ACCAUUUUGUGGUUCAUAAGUGUGAUGAUUAGAUUUUCAUGCUAUUACGUGAGAUAUGGCUUCCUCAAACCCUGUUAUGACAUGCUAAUAUCUAUUUGAUA